rnacentral:rRNA from 1 species
UAACGCGAAGAACCUUACCCGGGCUUGAACUGCAGCGGAAGGAUACAGAGAUGUUGACGUCCUUCGGGACCGCUGUGGAGGUGCUGCAUGGUUGUCGUCAGCUCGUGCCGUGAGGUGUCGGCUUAAGUGCCAUAACGAGCGCAACCCUUGCUAUCAGUUGCCAUCAGGUAAUGCUGGGCACUCUGUUAGGACUGCCACCGUAAGGUGUGAGGAAGGUGGGGAUGACGUCAAAUCAGCACGGCCCUUACGUCCGGGGCUACACACGUGUUACAAUGGGGUAUACAGAAGGCGGGAUCACGGCAACGUGGUUCAAAUCUUUAAAGUGCUCCUCAGUUCGGAUUGGGGUCUGCAACCCGACCCCAUGAAGCUGGAAUCGCUAGUAAUCGCGCAUCAGCCAUGGCGCGGUGAAUACGUUCCCGGGUCUUGUACACACCGA